GUGCUAAAGCAAAGUAACAAAAGAUCUGUGGCUGUUUCAUUAACAGAAGUGAAGGACUUCUCUUCUGUCUCUGGAACAAAGACUAACAGAAGAGCCCUUAGUUACUAAGAUGUAUUUUUUCUGGUCUCAGGCUCAUUAACGAUGGAAGUAGGAGGGAUAGGGUAUAAAGCAGCAGCUGCAGCUGUGGGCACUCAGAUCAUUUUUCACCUGGCAUAAAGUUAACGCUGGCAUCUCCAGAGUUCCAGCACAGAACGCCAGGGAGCAAAUGCCAGCUGAUUGUUGGACCAUGUGUAGGCUUCGAUGUCAGUAAAUGUUGCAUCUGACUCUCAGUGUCACGUGUAAGGUGAGGAGUAACUCAGCUUCUUAGUCUCCAAAUCCUCAUGUACUAUCUAGGGCAGUGGUAUACCUGCCUCUUAAAGGUGGUUGUUAAGGUUAAAAAUAGUAUCUGGUAUUAUUAUUAUUAUCAUUAUUAUGUUAUGAUCAUUUUCUUCUGG
rnacentral:lncRNA from 1 species